UGCAGGAAAUAACGUCACUGCUCAUCCUAGCUAGCUCUUUAAUGAAAAAAAGAAAAAAACAAGUUCUUCAAUUGGUGCUCUAUAAUACAAAUAUAAGAUAAUCCAUUUUUUCAGUGUCAAUCCAAGUCAGUGUUCACAGCACUGAGGACAACACUCAUACAAUUAUCCAUCAGUAUAUCCCUGCACUGCGCAGUGACCUUCGUCGAUGCUUCAGAAAACGGCGAUACUCGGCAUCUCUUUCUCUCUGUCUUUCUUUCUGGUAUAUAAGGUCAGCUGAUUGUCGACACUGCACACACACUCACUCCACUGGUCGGUGACCAACAAGCCUCUCCACGCUUCUUAGCCAGCGAAACGUUCCCUCAAACCGUCCCAAGAUGAACUUCCUCCGCGUGCUGUCAGUCCUGAUGGUUGUGGUGGUCCUGAUGGCCGGCGUCACGGAGGCGGGACCUCUCUUCCCCCGCAGAGGAAGAGGUGGCUCUGGCAGAAGACGCGGACUGCCCAGUGGCGUCAGCUCCAUUUACGGGGAUAUGCACGCCAACUUCCUCACCGGUAACUCCAUUACUCCCGGAGUCUUAAACCAUAUAUCCUUUGCCGGGCUGUGAGGAUGAAGUGCGGCUGUAGAAUGACGUACGAAAUUAAACAAGGUCGUGCGCCGCCUCCGAAGUCGACGAUCAGCGGCUGGAAAGCCUGACUUCUUGUCCAGCGGGACCUGACCUCUGGUCCGCUGAAGUCGAGAGGACGCCCAGCUGCGGGCCGCUGCAUACCUCGUCGCCGUGACGAGCGUCAGUGGUGGCCACACCAACAGGGCCUGCAAUAAUUCGCAACACAGGCAAGAAGUGUUACAGAGUCGGGAGAAAAGUCCACAGGUUGUCUCCCGCCUGGUGACGUAACGAGGCCUAGAGUGUGAAGCUGUUUGUGUGUUUUAUGGUAGAGUCAGAGAAGUCGCUCAUAGCGAGUCUUGCUUCGCUCAUCCCAUUGUUUCCAGUGACAGUGUAGAGCUGUGGUCACAUCAGUUGACAUUGUGGUGUACAUACUACAUCAGUUAGUCCACACCCGCCAGUCGGGUUUCAGUUCAAAUGAUCAACAGCUUAUUUUGUCUUUGAGUGCACAUAUACUUUUCUUGUUAAAAUUUAUUUAAUACUCUUCAAUUUUAGUGCAAUAAUUUAGAUUUUCACAGUUUUAUUUCUCAAUAAUGAUUAACAAUUUUACAUUGUAGUUGUAAUCUAUUUUUCCGUAUGAUUUACAUGUCUUUCUGACAAUUAAAUAAACAGUAUGCAACGGUUAACCAUUUGGAAUGUAAUCAUAAAUUUUAUUCUUGUGACUCAUCUUGUCGCGAUUAGCUGUUUAUUCUAAUAAAAAUCCUAUACAAUCAAAA